rnacentral:rRNA from 1 species
ACGAACGCUGGCGGCGUGCCUAACACAUGCAAGUCGAGCGGAGACAGUGAGUAGCUUGCUAUGAGCUGUUUUAGCGGCGGACGGGUGAGUAACGCGUGAGCAACCUUUCCCAGACAGGGGAAUAACACACCGAAAGGUGUACUAAUACCGCAUAAGACCACGGAAUCACAUGGUUCUGAGGUAAAAGAUUUAUCGGUUUGGGGUGGGCUCGCGUCCGAUUAGGUAGUUGGUGAGGUAACGGCCCACCAAGCCGACGAUCGGUAGCCGACCUGAGAGGGUGAUCGGCCACAUUGGGACUGAGACACGGCCCAAACUCCUACGGGAGGCAGCAGUGGGGAAUAUUGGGCAAUGGGGGGAACCCUGACCCAGCAACGCCGCGUGGAGGAAGAAGGUUUUCGGAUCGUAAACUCCUGUCCUUGGAGACGAGUAGAAGACGGUAUCCAAGGAGGAAGCCCCGGCUAACUACGUGCCAGCAGCCGCGGUAAUACGUAGGGGGCAAGCGUUGUCCGGAAUAAUUGGGCGUAAAGGGCGCGUAGGCGGCUCGGUAAGUCUGGAGUGAAAGUCCUGCUUUUAAGGUGGGAAUUGCUUUGGAUACUGUCGGGCUUGAGUGCAGGAGAGGUUAGUGGAAUUCCCAGUGUAGCGGUGAAAUGCGUAGAGAUUGGGAGGAACACCAGUGGCGAAGGCGACUAACUGGACUGUAACUGACGCUGAGGCGCGAAAGUGUGGGGAGCAAACAGGAUUAGAUACCCUGGUAGUCCACGCCGUAAACGAUGUCGACUUGGAGGUUGUGCCCUUGAGGCGUGGCUUCCGGAGCUAACGCGUUAAGUCGACCGCCUGGGGAGUACGGCCGCAAGGUUGAAACUCAAAGGAAUUGACGGGGGCCCGCACAAGCAGUGGAGUAUGUGGUUUAAUUCGAAGCAACGCGAAGAACCUUACCAGGUCUUGACAUCCACUUAAACUUACAGAGAUGUAAGGUGUGCUUGCACAAAGUGAGACAGGUGGUGCAUGGUUGUCGUCAGCUCGUGUCGUGAGAUGUUGGGUUAAGUCCCGCAACGAGCGCAACCCUUAUCUUCAGUUACUAACGCGUGAGGGUGAGGACUCUGAAGAGACUGCCGGGGACAACUCGGAGGAAGGUGGGGACGACGUCAAAUCAUCAUGCCCCUUAUGACCUGGGCUACACACGUGCUACAAUGGCCACGACAGAGAGAAGCGAAAUCGCAAGGUAGAGCGGAACUCAAAAAAGUGGUCCCAGUUCGGAUUGUGGGCUGCAACCCGCCCACAUGAAGUCGGAGUUGCUAGUAAUCGCGGAUCAGCAUGCCGCGGUGAAUACGUUCCCGGGCCUUGUACACACCGCCCGUCACACCAUGGGAGUUGGGAGUGCCCAAAGCCGGUGAGGCAACCGCAAGGAGCCAGCCGUCUAAGGCAAGACCAAUGACUGGGGUG